rnacentral:rRNA from 1 species
UACCGGCGCCUCAAGUGGUAGUCGAUUUUAUUGGGCCUAAAGCAUCCGUAGCCGGCUCUGUAAGUUUUCGGUUAAAUCUGUACGCUCAACGUACAGGCUGCCGGGAAUACUGCAGAACUAGGGAGUGGGAGAGGUAGACGGUACUCGGUAGGGAGUGGUAAAAUGCUUUGAUCUAUCGAUGACCACCUGUGGCGAAGGCGGUCUACCAGAACACGUCCGACGGUGAGGGAUGAAAGCUGGGGGAGCAAACCGG